CAGACGGGGGGGAAAAAAGAGGACAAAAAGGGGGAAAAGAGAGAGAAAGAGAACAAACAAAACUAAUGAACAAUGGGGUUAACAGGACAGAGGCGAUGCUACACGUAAGACAGCAAGCAGAGGCGAGGAGGACUGACGGACAAAGCGAGGAUGAGAACUGCUGGAGCAGCCAUGUCAGGACCGUAGACCAUGCACAUAUAACAGCACAACCAAUAAAAACACACACAGUGGGGCUGACUUAAGUCAAUACAGACUGAUACUAGAGUACGCUGCUUAAUCAUAUAAACUGUUGCGAUGCAGAAAGAGGAAGCAUGGUGUGUCAUCUGUGUGAGUGCCCAAGCAAAUCCGGACAGCCUGAAGCCGGGCAGAUGAUGGAAGGAAGACAAUGAGAACCCCUUGGAGCUUCAAGACAACGUCGCCCUUGAAGGAUAAUAGGCCUAAGCAGAAUCAUUCACCGGCGAUCGGAGCACAAUGCAUGCCGGUUAGAUUUGUGUCCAACUUGAUCCCGACUUGCUCUGAUGUCAUGCACACGUGGCCAACGAUAACCUCAAGAGAUCGAGGUGGCCGCAGUUUUUUAGAGCCAGGCGCCACAGACUGCAAGACCCAGGGCAUUAUGGGAAACGCAUGGCUGUCGCCUUAUCAAAGAGCUGAUUGGCUCUUAGUUUUGACAACAAACACCACGUGUUAUAGAAAGUCCUAACUUUCUGUGUGAUUGUAAUAUUUAACACUAGAUUGUACGCUAUCAGUCUCAUGUUGUACAAUGAAGGUUUCAUCUGUUAAACAUAUCUUGUGUGGUUGAUAAUAAUAAUAAUAAUGAAGGUUAUUUAUAGCACUUAUUAAACAAAGUGCUUUACAAGGCAAAAAAUAAUAAAGGAUAGAAUCCAAUGCCAGAUACACGCACAUUUUCACAUAUAUUUACAAAUAAAUAUAAAUAAAUCUGAAGAAACUUGGAGAACCACACUUGCAAACUACAAGUAGCCUACAGAUCGGAUCUAACAAGAUGUAACUUUUCCUGUGACUUCAUGUAAAUUCAUUGAAGGCUGUUGGAAAUGGCUGAAUACUGUCCGACUUGACCGCAGCUUUUUGUCACUGCCCCCUGCUGCUGCCGCCUGAUCUUGUCUGCUUUCCAGGCGAGGCGAGGUUCAUCUCGAAUGAGCCUAUUAUGUCACUU